rnacentral:rRNA from 1 species
GAUGAACGCUAGCGGCAGGCCUAAUACAUGCAAGUCGGACGGGAUUCCCGAUUUAUCGGGAUGAGAGUGGCGCACGGGUGCGUAACACGUAUGUAACCUACCCUUGUCAGGGGGAUAGCCUCUCGAAAGAGAGAUUAAGCCCGCAUAACAUUAUGAUAUAGCAUUAUAUUAUAAUCAAAUAUUUAUAGGACGAGGAUGGGCAUGCGGAACAUUAGCUAGNGGUAAGGUAACGGCUUACCAAGGCGACGAUGUUUAGGGGAUCUGAGAGGAUGACCCCC